AUGCAGUGCACUUGUUUGUCCAAUGAAGUGCGGUUUUUCGUCCGAUGCAGUGCGGUUUUCAGUCGGAUGAAGUACCCACGUCGAUUUGGCUGUCGCAAAAAACAGAGUGUCCGCAUUUCGGUAAAUUUAAAACUGCUCUUAAACUGUAAGGAAUUAGAGAGAGUGUUCUACAUGAAAAAGUUGCGUCUCAUCGAUAUCUUUCCAACGGCAUAUCAUUUGAAUCAUUUCGACAACCGGUUUGUAAAAAAUUUGCGACAAACGGCCACUGCCACUCGUCGUCCGCUGCACGAUUUUCAAAAUUAA
rnacentral:rRNA from 1 species